rnacentral:lncRNA from 1 species
GGAAAGGGUUUAGGGAUGGGUAGAAAGUGUGUCAGAAGGCAUGAACAAGGCACAGCAUGCUCGUUCCUGGAUGCUUUAUUGAGCAUGAUGCUCCCCCAGGUGCUGGCGGCUCCAGGUCCGUCCUGGUGGUGGGGGGCUACAGGUGGAGCUGGAAGACUUCUGCAGUGCAUGGCUUCAGGCCAGCGAGGUCAGACAGUGGGGCUGAGAGCCCAGCUAUGCUCCACUGCUCCCCCACCACUGCAUUGGAGCUGUGGUAGGACUGGAGUUGGAUCCCUGCUUUCCCCAGCAGCCCAGUGAGUGUGGGAAGUGCGUUUGUCUCCGAUGCUUUGGCUCUAUAGAUGAGGAGAGGGCCCACCAGUGGUGCCGGCUGCUUGAAGGUGGCCCCAUUGAGCUCCCGCAGCACUGGACUGCUGCCCUGCACUGUUCCCGUCACCCGGUGUGGGGUGCCCUGCAGGGCCACCUGCAGCAAGCCCUCGGGCUCAGGGCAUGUGUCACCAUGGGUGGCUGUGACCUUCAGGCCAGCCUCCUGGGCCAGCAGCAUGGCGUUCACCAGGGUCGCCU